rnacentral:snRNA from 1 species
AUAUACCCCAGAAUACAUUUUGGCUAAGGUCAGGUGCAGUUUAAUCAGUUUAAAUCAGUUUAAUAUCUUAUAUAUCCUCUACUUGAAGACAAUAUAUUAAAUGGAUUUUGGGAACAGGACGGUGGAAUAAGAGCUUACUCCAUCCACUUUACACAUUAACCCACUUCACACAUUAACCUGGUAUUGCAGUACUUCCAGGAAUGGAAGCACUU